GUACGUACGUACGUACGUACCGUACCGUACGUUACGUACGUACGGUUACGGUACGGGGUAAACGGGUAACCGGUAACCCGUAACCGGAACCGGUACGGUACGUACGGUACGGUACGUACGGUACGUACGGUACGGUACGGUAACGGUAACGACGUACGUACCGUACCGUACGUACGGUACGUACGGUACGGACGACCGGACCCGGUACCGUACCCGUACCGGGUACGGGUACGGACGGACGUACGGUACGGGGUAACGGUAAGGUUACGGUACGUAACGUACGGGGUACGUAACCCGUACGUACGUACGUACGGCCCANGCCGUGUGUGUGAGAAGGACCUUUGGUGUAAAGCACUUUAAGCAGUGAAGAAGAUCCAUGGUUAAUACCCAUGGACGAUGACAUUAGCUGCAGAAUAAGCACCGGCUAACUCUGUGCCAGCAGCCGCGGUAAUACAGAGGGUGCAAGCGUUAAUCGGAAUUACUGGGCGUAAAGCGAGCGUAGGUGGCUUGAUAAGUCAGAUGUGAAAGCCCCGGGCUUAACCUGGGAACGGCAUCUGAUACUGUUAGGCUAGAGUAGGUGAGAGGAAGGUAGAAUUCCAGGUGUAGCGGUGAAAUGCGUAGAGAUCUGGAGGAAUACCGAUGGCGAAGGCAGCCUUCUGG
rnacentral:rRNA from 1 species